rnacentral:rRNA from 1 species
UACAGAGGAUGCAAGCGUUAUCCGGAAUGAUUGGGCGUAAAGCGUCUGUAGGUGGCUUUUUAAGUCCGCCGUCAAAUCCCAGGGCUCAACUCUGGACAGGCGGUGGAAACUACCAAGCUGGAGUACGGUAGGGGCAGAGGGAAUUUCCGGUGGAGCGGUGAAAUGCGCAGAUAUCAGGAGGAACACCAAUGGCGAAGGCAGCUCGCUGGGACGGUACUGACGCUGAGACGCGAAAGCGUGGGGAGCAAACAGG